rnacentral:lncRNA from 1 species
GGAGCUGUGCGGGACCCGGAGGGUGGGGACUCCGUCCAGAACUCGGAAGAUGGGGCUGGCCUCCUUUUUCCAUUGCUUUUCCGCAGCCUUGGUCUUGACUUUCGGCCAGUUCUUAUAGACAUUCCUGCUCUUCGAUGCUCUCCUUCGGCGCUUCUCCAGGCCGAUUCUCACCCUCUUCCUCCCACCCUUUCCCAGGAUCCCCAUCCCAUCGGAGUCUUCCCGCAUCCACUAUGCUAAGUCAAGCUGGCUUUUCAGAAUCUUGCCUCCAGAACCCUCUUUCCUAGCCCUUACGAUCCCCCGUCGCGAAUCAGCCUUUCACCAGAAUUGCCUUCCUCUUCUUCCCAGGAAACCUGACCCCUUAAAAGCCCUUUCCAGCGCUCUCCUAAAUAAACUUCUCUUGCCUUCUG